UACGGAGGGUGCAAGCAUUAAUCGGAUUUAUUGGGCGUAAAGGGCGCGUAGGCGGAUUAAUAAGUCAGAUGUGAAAUCCCGGGGCUCAACCCCGGAACGGCAUUUGAAACUGUUUAUCUAGAGGGUAGGCGGAGAAAACGGAAUUCCACAAGUAGCGGUGAAAUGCGUAGAUAUGUGGAAGAACACCGGUGGCGAAGGCGGUUCUCUGGGCAUGAUCUGACGCUGAGGAGCGAAAGUGUGGGGAGCGAACAGG
rnacentral:rRNA from 1 species